CGUAGGGUCCGAGCGUUGUCCGGAAUUAUUGGGCGUAAAGGGCUCGUAGGCGGUUGGUCACGUCGGGAGUGAAAACUCAGGGCUCAACCCUGAGCGUGCUUCCGAUACGGGCCGACUAGAGGUAUGCAGGGGAGAACGGAAUCCUGGUGUAGCGGUGGAAUGCGCAGAUAUCAGGAGGAACACCGGUGGCGAAGGCGGUUCUCUGGGCAUUACCUGACGCUGAGGAGCGAAAGCAUGGGGAGCGAACAGGAUUAGAUACCCUGGUAGUCCAUGCCGUAAACGUUGGGCGCUAGGUGUGGGGUCCUUCCACGGACUCCGUGCCGCAGCUAACGCAUUAAGCGCCCCGCCUGGGGAGUACGGCCGCAAGGCUA
rnacentral:rRNA from 1 species